rnacentral:misc_RNA from 1 species
AACUACGCGUUAUUUUGUUUAAAAGUGGCGUUAUUUUGUUUAAAAGUGUCUAUUCGUCAGUCGUUAAAGAACCUAAGAAAUAAAAGCCAAAAAAAUGUAACCAAAAAAUAGUGAAGAAACAAGCCUAAAAACAUAGUCUUGAAUGGUCAUCUACAUCAAUAGCGUCUUUGAUAUCUUCAUCACCACCGUCAUCAUUAUGUAAACCUAUAGAAAUAAAUAAUGAAACUAAAUAAAACGAAUUAAUGACAGUACUAACUAUAUUGUUGACUCAAAAAAAAAGGAAAAAAUUAGUUCAUAAUCUACACCAUACCACCUUGAUCAUCUUCAUCAUCACCAUCAACUAAAAGUAGAAAAAUAAGAAAAAUCCACUCUAAUUUGAAGGACAUAAAUAUGCGUAUGGAAAUAGCACAUGAAGACAGUACAUUAGCAACAAUUGCUGAUAAUCCCUUAUCAUCAUCAUAAAUCUGAAACAGAAGCUGAAAUGAAUAUAUUAGCAGCUAGAUCAUCAUCAAAAAAAAAAUACUGUAUCCAGUGGUAAGAAAAAAAAAAUUAUUUUUUUUAAUUUAUUA